AAUCAAAUAGGCUACAUUUGAGUUGAUGACGACGGCUGCUCAGCAAGAUUACUCGGUCUUUCAAUUAUUAUUUUGAACUAAUUUGCGAUGUGACAUGUAAACGAAGGAGAACAGAAGAUGUGAACACACAGAAGACGCUCAGACUGGAUGCGUGAGAUCCUGCAAUAUUGGCGAUCAGCACUGGAAGAAGAUUUUUGGGGGGAGAGCAGGCACCCAACAGAGAGACAAAUCCACAACGGCAUGAUUAUCAACUUCAUUAUUGACAAAGAAAGGAGAACAUGUCACCAUCAUGAGCCCUUUAUUUAGUUCACGGAAGAACAUCAAGGGAAAGACCCUCAGACGUGUCAUAACAGGAUAAAUGUGGCUACAGGACGCAUCACCCCACCCCAUCCCAGAUUGACCAAGGAUCCAGAUGAGUACUGGCAAUUUGGUGGAGGAUUGCUCUUUAUCUACUACUACAUUGU